rnacentral:rRNA from 1 species
GGGGAAUAUUGGGCAAUGGAGGAAACUCUGACCCAGCGACGCCGCGUGAGGGAUGAAGGCCUUCGGGUUGUAAACCUCUUUCAGCAGGGAAUAAGCGAAAGUGAAGGUACCUGCAGAAGAAGCACCGGCUAACUAUGUGCCAGCAGCCGCGGUAAUACAUAGGGUGCAAGCGUUGUCCGGAAUUAUUGGGCGUAAAGAGCUCGUAGGUGGUCGAUCACGUCGGAUGUGAAAAUCUGAGGCUUAACCUCAGACCUGCAUUCGAUACGGGUUGACUAGAGUGUGGUAGGGGAGACUGGAAUUCCUGGUGUAGCGGUGGAAUGCGCAGAUAUCAGGAGGAACACCGAUGGCGAAGGCAGGUCUCUGGGCCAUUACUGACACUGAGGAGCGAAAGCGUGGGGAGCGAAC